UCAUGACCUAUGUGGGAUCUCUGUACCUGUUACUGUUAAGCGCAGUGCCAAGUUCUAAUAUUAUUCAUAAGAUUUUGGACAAAAGAUUGGUGCUUCCUGUGAUAGUUGUUGCAACUAUGGUUGAGCUUGUCCUGACAGAUGCUGGUUUACAUCUUCUUUUGACGUUGGCUGGUUCUUUGCCUGUCGUUUUGGUUCAUGCUGUUUUGUGG
rnacentral:misc_RNA from 1 species